CAUCGCCUCUUGCAAAACAAAAAUAAGAGGUCCCGCCUGCCCUGUGACCAUGAGUUUAACGGCCGCGGUAUUUUGACCGUGCAAAGGUAGCGCAAUCACUUGUCUUUUAAAUGGAGACCUGUAUGAAUGGCAUAACGAAGGCUUACCUGUCUCUUCUUUCCAGUCAAUGAAACUGAUCUCCCCGUGCAGAAGCGGGGAUACCCCCAUAAGACGAGAAGACCCUAUGGAGCUUUAGACGUAGGACAGACCAUGUUAAGCACCCCAAAUAAAGAACAAAACCAAUUGGUACCUCCCCUAAUGUCUUUGGUUGGGGCGACCGCGGGGGAACAAAAAACCCCCAUGUGGACUGAAGACACCCUUCUUUACAAUCAAGAGCGACAGCUCUAAAUAACAGAACUUCUGACCAACAAGAUCCGGCUUAAAGCCGAUCAACGGACCGAGUUACCCUAGGGAUAACAGCGCAAUCUCCUUUUAGAGCCCAUAUCGACAAGGAGGUUUACGACCUCGAUGUUGGAUCAGGACAUCCUAAUGGUGUAGCCGCUAUUAAGGGUUCGUUUGUUCAACGAUUAAAGUCCUACGUGAUCUGAGUUCAGACC
rnacentral:rRNA from 1 species